CUACUCGAUAGAGGCGCGGGCGCGAAGAUGCGCGGGCGAGCCGGCAGGCGUCGACCCCGUGCGGAGGCAAACCCGCCGAAUCCUACCUCCGGGCGCGGAGGUUUGGGUGGGCCCGUGCGAAACACGUCCGGGACUGUCUGCAAGCAUGCAGGGGUGCUAUUCGAAGU
rnacentral:ncRNA from 2 species